CCGCCGCCGCCGCCGCCCCGCCGCUGCCGCCGCUCGCGCCGCUCACCGCGCACGCGACGCACGCUGCAGGGAGUGACACGCGUUCCAUUGAGAUCGUGGAAGGUCGCGUGGUCUCCCGGGGGCCGGGCGGCACGCCGCUGGCGCUGAUGCCGC